rnacentral:lncRNA from 1 species
UACCAUAUUAAAACAGAUAUAAAUCUCUCGUCCAAAAUCAGAAUCACCUACCAGAUCCCAAUUUGAAAAACUCUUUCCAUGCUCUACGUGCCUGACUGCUUUAUCAUUGAAGUCCAAUUUUGAGACCAAAUUCAUUCAUGUAAUAAGUCGACGAGAGCUCGAAAGAUUCUGGAUGAGUUGAAAGUUUUAUUUUUUUUACCUAUUUUGUAUUCAGAAUA